GCAUAUGUAGUUUAAUAAAAAUGUGAGGCUGUUAACCUUGUGUUGGGUGGUUUAUCCCGUAGGCG
rnacentral:tRNA from 1 species